AAUACCUGGCAUAAAGCCGCGUGGCAUAUCUCUUUGCCUUCUUCUGAUCUGUCUCAUACGCUUGACCCACGUAUGGUAACAAUUCCAGGAACUUAUCUGUAUACUCAUCAACGCUCAUCUCCUCCGUCUGUCUCAACUGCUCAAACUCCACAACCUUUAGCUCCCUGGAACUGUCAGGAAAAGCCCACCCAGCAAAUUCGUUAGCGAACUCUUCCCAUGUCAUACUGUCUAUUUUGGGGUCCACAUAGUUCUUGAACCAU
rnacentral:lncRNA from 1 species